CUUAAUUAUAGCAGAAAAUUAGAUUACGUCAAAUCAUGUUCGAAACAAUAUAUCCGAAGUUUGUGUGAGACUGAUUGGACCGAAUCAUAAUCGAGACUCGUAUAUGCUUUAAAUGAGUUAGUUGUAUAUUUUUAAAAGCUCUGAUUUUUGGAAUUAGCGAUUAACGCCAAUGAUUCAACAAAUGGUAUUAAUUACGAAUUUUUAUCGCAGCGUCUAAUUAAUAUAAAGUUUUAAAAUUUUUUUUUGAGAGAAAGGUAGUAUAUUACCCGCUUCGUUUAUUUUGUUUUAGAUAUAAACUUAACUGAAAAUGUGAAGCAAUUAGAAUUCGAACCUGAAACUUCAAAUACCAACCACCAACUCCUUUGCUACUUGUGUUAAAGACGGUCGGUAAGUUUAGAAUUAUUAAGACGUUUAUGUUAACAUUUAAUGAACAAUAAAAAAGAAUUACUAAGAUGGUUAAA
rnacentral:lncRNA from 1 species